ensembl:snoRNA SNORA74 Small nucleolar RNA SNORA74
UCCAGCUGUAGGCAACUGUCUAGGUUGCCUUGUACCUAGGCAAGUGUUAACACUGUUGGGAGAAAUGCAGCCAGUAGCUGAUAGGCAUU